GUGGUGGUGGCGCAGUUGGCUAGCGCGUAGGUCUCAUAAUCCUGAGGUCGAGAGUUCGAGCCUCUCUCACCCCA